rnacentral:lncRNA from 1 species
GGGCUCGCAGCCCUAAGCCCGCAGGGGCCGCGAGGGAGGGGCUCGCGGGGAGGGGACUGUCUGCGCGCGCUCAAGGGGUCUCCGAGGCCACGGGUCCGUCUGUGCCGAAUCCGGGAUCGCUGUGGACCCCAGCCCGAUCCGCAGGCCCCAUUUAACCUCCUUACAGCAGCCCAGAGGGGAAGGGCCGAAAGCAACCUGCUUAUUGAUUCCUUCAGAUGGAGACCAGUGUUCCCGCAUAGCAGGUUUGGGCGGUCGGGGCCAGAAACCCGCGGCGGGACACUUUUCAUAAGGAUUCUUCAAAGAAUCAGGGUUACCGGGGGCGCGAUGCCAGCCGCAAACCUCCUGAAGAACAGACCCUGGAGUCACGACUCCGGUAAAGGUGGACGUUUCGCCAACUCACUCCCCCUCCUUGGCCCGCUCCACUCCUCCUGCCUGAGGUUGAGUGUUCUGUGGCAGGUCUCCGGAGAAAGGGACCGUCAAGCAGUGUGCCCAGUGGCUCGUUUUCAGCUGCGGAGAAGCACAUCAGACCCCCCGGAGGCGCGAGCAGCCGGGUCUGCGCCCCGGAGUGCAGUACUCGCGGCUGACCUUAUGACCGCUGGAGGAGCGGGAGUUCUGCCUUCGACCUGAGCCUCUGGGUUCUCCCUUUCCUCUCUUUCAUUAACCCGCUGAAAAUCUUAUUUUUAAUCUGGUGAAAUAAAACAAGUGAGUUCAGACCCCCAGAAGCUGGAAGGUCCUGAGAAUUCUGGCACAUUCAAGGUUGUGUGUGGCCCUUUCACUGUGCAAGGGUGAAAUCUAGGACACACAGGAAACAUUAUCAUGAACCUAAAACUGAAAUGGCUUAAAUUCUAGCCCCCACCUCUUAGGAAGUUUGGCUUUUAAUUUCGGGAGACUCUUAAGUUUCAUCUGGAAAGUGUGUUGACUUUUUGUGUUUGAUAUCUUUUUCCAUUUUCAUUUUUUCCAAGUCAUUAGAAAAAUUCACUGUAAAAAACACUGCUUUGGGCCUAGAGAAUGUGGGGUCCUGUCUCUUGGGGAUGUCUAACAGGAGAGAGUUGAACUUGUGGUGAAGGAGAGGGAGUGACUAGGAGACAGGUGCAUCCCUUGUUGUUCAGAUGGUGUGACUGAAGGCAAUGUGGUAACACAGCUGACCUGAGGGGCAGUGGACUCUCACCUGAAGCAGACCCAGGGUCUGUGUGUCCUGAUCUCAGGGGGUUUUCUUUUUGUUUUGUGACCUUAUCCUAUGCAAUGUGUAUGUGUAAUUUAAGGUAGGGCAAGAGGGAAGAUGACAGUGUCUACUUGCAAAGUCCUAUGAGUUCAUUGGACAUAAGGAAAGGGCAUAAGACAAGGUUGAAAGCUGAUAUCGAAGGAGAAGCAGUCACUCCAUGUUUUAUUAUUUAACUUCCAUGGAAGCCCUCUCAGGUUUUAUCAGAUUCAUCUUAUUGGUGAAGAAACUGAAUUUCAAAGAGGCCUUGCAGCUGGCCCAGCUCAGCCAUGUGCUCAGAAGGAAGGCUCAGCUGGACCUGCACAUGGGGACCCUCUGCCUCCAGGCCCUGUACUUGCUGUUGAUCAACUGCCCUACCAGCUGCUGGGCCUCAGAUCCAGCGAGGUUUAGGGUUAGGGUUAGGGUUAGGACUUGUAAGAGGUGGGGCCUAGUGGGAGGUCAGUACUGGCCCUCUCUGCUCUUUGGCUUUCUGUCUUCCCAUGCAGUCUCUUCUUCCUUCCACCAGGAGCUACCUGCCAUGAUAUGCCACAUCUGAGGAGCUCUCAGAAAAGCGGGUGCCAUGCUAUCUGUACUUUCAGCCUCCCAAACUGUGAGCCAAACAAACCACAUUUCUUUACAAAUUACCCAGCUUCAGAUAUUUCAUUGUAGCAAUAGAAAACAGGCUAAUAACAGUGAUUGUAUAACUUCUUUCUGGUUGUAAAUAUUGUUUGAAAGUGAAAGGAGCAUGAUUAAUUCUGAUGCUGAGAUAAGAGGUGCAAUCAGGACAGGUUGACCCGGGGGGAUGGUGGCAUCUCACAGGUUAUCUUUCUGUCUAAAACAUAGACUCCUGGAUCAACUCUUUAAAAGGCUAAAGCCAAAUGUUAAAAAUGAGAAACAACCAACGUUUAAAUAAUAGUCAAAGUGUCAAGAAAAUUAUACCUAGUCCACUUAAAAGUAUAUUAUACAGCAACAAUAUUAUAGUUAUGAAGAUUACAUGGAACAUAGAAAUAUUUAUGAUCUACUUGAUUUUAAAUGAGAAAGCAGAGUGCAAGAUCGUACCCCGAUGUUGCUACCAUUAUAUAAAACUAUGGUAAAAGUAAGGAAAAGUCUAGAAGGAAAAUAUUUUGAUUGGUAACUCUUGUUACAUUAAAAUAGUGGGUUAUUCUCAGCUGGUUCCCUCCUCUGUCCUCUCCAGCACAUGAAUCCAAAUGUCACUUCACCUGCAGGAGAGUCAGGGUGGGCAGAAGACCUGUAUGGUCCAUAAGUUCUCCUUUUCCUUUCUCAGAAGAUCACAGAAAGUUCUGUCUCACCAGAGGAAUGAACAGAUAUGUACCUGGACCCACAGUGUGACAGAUUAUCUUUUGUUGUUACAAUUAUUCCUUUUUACUUGAUUUUCAGACAUUUGUAAAAGGAAUGUGUUGCAGUUGUGAUAAAAAAAAAGUUACAUUAAAGAUUAAGUUAACAACUUUGGGGUAGUUGAAUACAGUGCAUUUAGUUAAAAAAUAAUAAUCUCUAAGGACAACUACGGGUUUCAACUAGGGGUUGGGGGAAAAAUGGUUAGGGAAUCUGCAGCCAGAGCCUACACCAAUCAAACAAGAAAAGAAGGAAGGGAAGGGAAGAAGGGAGGUGUUUACAAUAGGUAGUCACUUGAGCCUUGAGUUGCACCUGCCAAAGGCUUCUCCCAAGAGCAUUUAAUCAGUGUUCCCAGGUACUAGCUCUCUCCAGCUGCAGUUUUGAUAAAAAGGCAGAACUAGUGUUUUUCCACGUACUUUGCCUCAAAGGAACAUCUCCAAUGAGCACCAAUCUCAUAAGGUCACCAUUCCACCAUUCCACCUCAAAAUAUCUGUCCCAGAGCUGGGAAGGGUGGUACACACCAAUAAUCUCAGUAACUCUGAAAGUAGAGGCAAGAGGGUUGCCAAUUUGAGGCCAGCCUAGGCAACUUAGUGCGAACCCCAGUCAAAGUUGACCCUGUCUCAAAAAAAAAAAAAAAAGGUUAGGCAUAUAUAUAGAUCAAUGGUAAAGUGCCCCUGGGUUCAAUCCCCAGUACCAAAAAUAAAACAAGUAAAUAAAUAAAUUUGCCCAAUUUGUAUAAGAAAAUAUCUGACCAAAAUUCAUGCACAUAGUUUGUUUUAUUGAAGUAGAUUGUUAAGGUCACUGUCGAUGUUGAAAAACAUUGUCUGUGUGGAUCUGUGUCAUUACAAGGUCACAGGACACAUUAAACCACUCAUUUCUCCAUCAGCAAAGCCUAUGACUGGAAGGCACAUUCCAUAUCUGAAGUGCCAUCCACACAGAUCUGUUUAGCUUCAUGACAAUAGUAUUAAGUAAGUCCUGUGUCUUUCCCUUCCUUAUAAUUCUGUAAACCAAAGCACAGAGAAAUUAAGCAGGCCCAAGAUAAUGUGGCAAAUGCAUGGCUACCAUGCUUUGGGAUAGUUUGCAAUCCAAGGGUGGAUGACUGAUAUAACUCUUAUGGUCCUGGCCUCCAGGAAAGCAGGAACUCACUUUCCCAGAUGGCCUUGCAGCCAGGCGUCGGCAUGUGACCUGUCUCAGCCUGUCAGAACUUCAAGGUGGAAGAGGAAAGCCUGAAGGGGGCUAGUUCUGGGUGAGUGGGUGGAGGAGCCCUGCCCAGCUUCCGGAGGCAGCUUUGAAGCUCAGGUUCAUGGUUCCAUCUAGAGGUUGGACCCAGGCUGGAGCGGGCUUCUUCCUUGGGAUGCUUCAGUGUUGUAAUCUAGAUGACGUUCCAGGCUGUGUAGCAGCCUUCGAAUCAAAUUUCUGACCUCCUAGAGAUUCUUUGUGUGACAUGGGUACAUCCCUUUGGUGCAAAAAUGACUUUGUUUCUUUUAACCCAGGACGUCUGGCCAAGUUAGACUGCCCUUGUUGGGAAUAGUGCCCGGCACGCGGUCCUUGCUCCUUUCAUUUGCUGUCCUUUACCCCCACCCCAACUCACGUGUCCUCACGCUUCACCUUGCUUCUCAAAGUCUUUGCUUCAGUGACCACCUGUUUGCUCUUUUCCAUCCCAACCUAACUCAGCCGGGAAAGUGGGUUUUCUCUCCUCACUGGCUUGGAUCAGUUAGCCAAAGCUGGCAGCAGCGCGGUGUGGGGAAGGAUUGGUGCUGGACUUAGAGGGAAGUACACAUUGUGAAGACUUCAGCUUGCACCUGUUUUUUUCAAGUGAGUUUAAGCCAGGCAAGUGCUAUUCAGCCACAGAUGACAUUCUGUAGGCUACUUUGUAUCUAAGUGUGACCUGAGGUCUGAGUAAAACUUAGAAUAUAAUUUGCAGGCUAUUUAAGUACAGUUAUUUCCAGAAUCUGGAAAAGGCAUUGGUUCGGUCACCAUGGAGGCUCUGUGUUAACCACCCUGUCCUAUUACAUAGGAGAGAAAUAAUUUUCUUAUUUGAUCCUCUGGAUUACUUUUUCUUAAAGCAAACUAACCAGGGCCCUAACUAAUAUGAGCCAUGUUAUCCUAAAACAUAAAUAUUACUAGGAAACCGUAUAAGAUUUAAAAUCUCAUAUGACAGCUUAAUCAAAUGACUUUCUUCCAGGCUCAUUGCAGUUAAGUCAAGGUCAACCUGCUGCUAGGGAUGCUAGUUCCCCAUCACUUGGCCUGAUGUCAUGGCAGAGGUCCUUAACGAUGAUCUCAUCCUCCUCUAAGUGGGAUUUUAAUAGCUUGAUUUUAGAGAAUGAACCCAUAAAAUGGACUUCAGAUCAUUCAUGCAUGAGCUUUUUAUUAGGCUUUUCCUCGGCCACUGUCUCUCCCCUCUUCCCCUUCCAACGGGGACACAGGUUGCUGAUAGAGUACAUUAAUGCCACCCCACCAUUCCUUGGGUGUGUGAGCUGUCUCCCUUUUAGAUCAGACAUGGCGUUCAGCCCCUCAUGGAUGCAAGAAUUCUUUGCAAGAUGUCUUCCUGGGAUACACUUAGCACAGGGGCUGAAGCAAGGGAGGAUUGCUGUUUUAGUCAACUUUUCUGUCACUUUGACCAAAAGACCUGACAAGAACAAUUUCAGAGGAGGAAAAGUUUAUUUGGGGCUCACAGUUUCAGAGGUCUCCAUCCAUGGCCAACUCCGUUACUCUGCUCCUGAGGUGAGGCAGAACAUCAUGGUAGAAGGGCAUGGUGGAGGAAAUCAGCUCAGGACCUGACUACCAGGAAGCACAGAGAUCUCCACUCACCAGGGACAAAUAUAUACUGCAAAGGCACACUCCCAGUGACCCACUCCUUCAGUCACACCCUACCCUCCUAUGGUUACUACCCCGUUAGUCCCUAUUAGUGGAUUAGUGCACUAAUUAGGUUAAGGCUCUCAUAACCCAAUCUUUUCAUCUCUGAACGUUCUUGUAUUGUCUCACAUGAGCUUUCCAGAGACACCUCAUAUCUAAACCAUAAUAGCUGGUCUUCUCAAUUAUGAAAAUGGUCUCAUUUUAAUUCUCAGGGUCCUACUUAUUUCCAACCGAUGCUAAUUCACAUGGGAGAAGUUUGAUAUGGCUGUGAAUUCAAGGCACUUUAUAAUUCUGCAACCUCAAGAAUCAAAUUUUAAAAAUAUAUAUUUUUAGUUAUAAAUGGACACAAUACCUUUAUUUCAUUUGCUUACUUUUUAUGUGGUGUUGAGGAACUCAGGGCCUCACACAUGCUACGCUAGCACUCUACCACUGAGCCCCAGCCCCAGCCCUAGGAAUCACAUUUUGGGGGUGUUUUCCAGCAGAUCUGAGAGUUACAAUAUUUUAGGGUUGCUACAGGACAUUCCCCUGGUCUGACUGCCCCCUCCCUCCUGUCAUAUGUAAUAGCUGCAGCUCUGCGUCUCUUCUUUAAAAACAAUUUCCCAAGUUGCUGUCAGCAGUGGCACCCCCCUACUUUGUUGUCAUUGGUUCCUCAAUGGUCAGUGCAGAAGGUGCUCUCCAAAGCUUUCCUUCCAAUGGGUUUGUCACCCCAGGCCACCACAGGUGUGCUAAUGACGGCAUGGUGAAGCUACAGCUUUAUGGCUUUAUGCUAAUAACCAUUUUCCAAUUGGCCACUGGCACUAACACCGUGACCCAGCUUAAGGUCAAAGUUGAUUGGUCGUCUUGGUCUUUGAAUCCCCUCCUGUUACUGGGCUGUGGAUGAGUCAGGGUCCAAUCAGGAACACAGGGCAAGUGUUUCAACAGAAGAGAUUUAAUCCAGGCAAUUAGUCACAAAAAUGCGAAAGCCCUCCAGGACCCAAAGAAGAAAUGGAGUGGUGAAGAAAACAAGAAGGAGGUUUCUUGUCCUGAGGUUUCAGCUGCUGACCUUUCACCUGGAGCUGCCCUUUAGGGACUGGGGAGGCGCUGUCACCUUGGGCUGCACAGAUGCCCAGAGGCUUCACCUGCACCGCCACUGUGGCAACUGCCAGGAACCGGCAGGGACCUCACCACCCCUCUCUUCAUUCAUGGCUCCAGUGUCUGGUGGUCAGAACUGAGCCUGUGGAUGGGGUGUGGACUCCCUGGAGGACCACAUAAACCAUUUCUGUGACAAUCUCUGAAUGAUUCCUCUUGGGCUAUCCUUAGCUUUUGGAGGAGAGAAGAAGGGACCUGAGCUGGCUUUGGUAAUUACGGAAUAGAGAUUUUUCUCUGGCAGUUGAAGGAAUUCUUGAGUGGUGAAAUGAGCCACGUAUUCCUUCCUGAAGAAGAGACUGCUUGGUCCUAAAGAGACUUCCAGAGAUGAUAAUCUCAUCUUCCCUGUCCUUUUCAUCUUUGCUUGAGGCAAAGACAGCUUCUUUCUGGUUGUGUGGAAAUGUGAAAUGACAGCUGAUACUGUGCCAAGGUAGCAUCUCUAUUCAACGCUACCUUCAAUAGUAGGUCUAAAUAUAGGUUCCAGUGUAGAACUCUGAGGAGGGGAGGUGGAUUCUGCUUUCUGGCACUGUUAAGGGGUGGUGAGUGCAAUAUCAUCAUUAGUCAAAAC